UCUGCUUCUCAAUUUUCAAAGAACUCUGUUCUCGAAAUGGUUAUGAAAGAGGCCUGAAUAGAAGGAAAAAAAGAUCAAUUUUUGUUAGGAAGAGAGAUAGAGAGAGUCCUCUCUUUCUUUCUUCCUUGAUUUUGUUCCUUCUCUUAUCAUCAUGGCCUCUAAUAUCUCCUUCGAGGAGAUAAAAAAUGAGCAAGUUGAUCUCGAGAACAUACCAAUUGAGGAAGUCUUUGAGCAGCUAAAAUGUACCAGGGAUGGUUUGUCAUCAGAGGAAGGAGAAAAUAGACUCCAAAUCUUUGGCCCCAACAAGCUUGAAGAGAAAAAGGAGUGCAAGCUUCUCAAGUUUUUGGGUUUUAUGUGGAAUCCUCUAUCAUGGGUCAUGGAAUGUGCUGCCAUCAUGGCCAUUGUUUUGGCAAAUGGAGGGGGCAAGCCUCCAGACUGGCAAGACUUUACCGGUAUAGUUGUGCUGCUCAUUAUCAACUCAACUAUCAGCUUCAUUGAAGAAAAUAAUGCAGGCAAUGCUGCUGCUGCCCUUAUGGCCGGUUUGGCUCCUAAAACCAAGGUGUUGAGAGAUGGAAAAUGGAGUGAGCAGGAAGCAUCAAUCUUGGUUCCAGGAGAUUUGAUUAGUGUCAAGUUGGGUGAUAUCAUUCCAGCUGAUGCUCGUCUCUUGGAAGGGGAUCCCCUUAAGAUCGACCAAUCAGCCCUCACUGGCGAAUCAUUGCCCGUGACAAAACACCCAGGAGAUGGAGUGUUCUCUGGUUCCACUUGCAAGCAAGGUGAAAUUGAGGCUGUGGUCAUUGCCACUGGUGUCCAUACCUUCUUUGGCAAGGCUGCCCACCUUGUUGAUAGCACCAACCAAGUGGGUCAUUUCCAGAAGGUAUUGACUUCUAUUGGGAACUUUUGUAUUUGCUCCAUUGGAGUGGGUAUGGUGAUUGAGAUCAUAGUGAUGUACCCAAUCCAAAAUAGGAAAUAUAGAGAAGGAAUUGAUAAUUUGUUGGUGCUUCUCAUUGGAGGGAUCCCAAUUGCCAUGCCAACAGUGUUGUCUGUGACAAUGGCCAUUGGAUCUCACCGACUUUCACAACAAGGUGCCAUUACCAAGAGGAUGACUGCAAUUGAAGAAAUGGCUGGGAUGGAUGUGCUUUGUAGUGACAAGACAGGGACCCUCACCCUCAACAAGCUCACAGUAGAUAGGACCUUGAUUGAGGUGUUCCCGAAAGAUGUUGAUAAGGACAUAGUUGUCUUGCUUGCUGCUAGGGCUUCUCGGAUUGAAAAUCAGGAUGCCAUUGACGCUUCAAUUGUUGGGAUGUUGGGUGACCCUAAGGAGGCAAGAGCAGGAAUCACAGAGGUGCAUUUCCUACCCUUCAAUCCGGUGGAGAAGCGCACUGCAAUAACCUACUUUGACUCUAAUGACAAUUGGUACAGAACUAGCAAGGGUGCUCCUGAACAAAUCAUUGAUCUUUGUGACCUCAAAGGAGAUGUCAGGAAGAAGGCCCUUGAGAUCAUUGACAACUUUGCUAACCGUGGCCUCCGUUCUCUAGGUGUUGCGAGACAGACGGUCCCAGAGAAGACCAAGGAAAGCGCUGGAGGGCCAUGGGAAUUUGUAGGCCUCUUGCCCCUCUUCGACCCGCCUAGGCAUGAUAGUGCUGAGACCAUCCGUAGGGCCCUUGACCUAGGUGUCAGUGUUAAGAUGAUCACAGGUGACCAGCUUGCCAUUGGAAAAGAAACUGGUCGUAGGCUUGGCAUGGGUACCAACAUGUAUCCCUCAUCCUCCCUUCUUGGCCAGAGCAAGGAUCAGUCUAUCUCUUCCAUUCCUAUUGAGGAGCUCAUUGAGAAGGCUGAUGGCUUUGCAGGAGUCUUUCCCGAGCACAAGUAUGAGAUUGUUAAGAAGCUGCAAGAGAGAAAACACAUUUGUGGAAUGACUGGAGAUGGGGUAAAUGAUGCCCCGGCACUUAAGAAGGCAGACAUUGGUAUUGCUGUGGCAGAUGCAACUGAUGCAGCCAGGAGUGCAUCUGACAUAGUUUUGACCGAGCCAGGGCUUAGUGUGAUUGUGAGUGCUGUGCUGACAAGCAGAGCCAUCUUCCAAAGGAUGAAGAACUACACAAUCUAUGCAGUUUCGAUCACAAUUCGUAUUGUGAUGGGAUUUAUGCUCAUAGCUCUUAUCUGGAAGUUUGAUUUCUCACCUUUCAUGGUCCUGGUCAUUGCCAUCUUAAAUGAUGGAACCAUCAUGACCAUCUCUAAGGAUAGGGUGAAGCCAUCCCCAGUGCCAGACUCAUGGAAACUCAAGGAAAUCUUUGCCACUGGCAUUGUCCUAGGAACCUACCUUGCUCUCAUAACUGUAAUCUUUUUUUGGCUUGCAGCUGACACUGACUUCUUUUCAAAAACUUUUGGUGUUAGAUCAAUCAGAGGUCAUACAGAUGAGCUCACUGCUGCUUUGUACCUUCAAGUGAGUAUUGUGAGCCAAGCGCUCAUCUUCGUGACCAGGUCACGAAGCUGGUCACUCAUUGAACGCCCUGGUCUUUUGCUUGUUGGUGCCUUUCUUGCAGCUCAAUUGGUAGCAACCGCUAUUGCUGUGUAUGCAAACUGGGAAUUUGCUCGCAUCCAAGGCAUUGGAUGGGGAUGGGCCGGUGCCAUUUGGGUCUUUAGUGUCGUUACCUAUUUCCCUCUUGAUGUCCUCAAAUUCAUCAUUCGCUAUGCAUUGAGUGGAAAGGCUUGGGAUAAUAUGAUUGAAGACAAGGUUAGCUAAGAAGAUUUGUGACAAUACCAAAUUCCUAGAACACCAUAACUACAAAACAUUACUUUUUGAUUUUUGGAACAUACCGUUUUUUUUAAAUGACCUAGGCUACUUUCACAACCAACAAGGAUUAUAGUAAAGGUGAGAAGGAGGCACAGUGGGCCUCAGCUCAAUGUACACUUCAUGGCCUUCAGUCUACAGAAUCUCAAGGUUAAGGGAGCUUCAUAGACUUAAGGGACAUGUUGAACCAAUUGUGAAGCUGAAGGGAUUGGACAUUGAAAAUAGCCAACAACAUUAUACCGUUCAACACCAAGGAUGGUUGAACAAUUUGAUAUAUGAUAGAAAUGGUGGAGAAGUGCAAGUGUAGAAGGGGAAUUUUCUUUUCAAACCUUUCUGUUUUUUCAUAACAAAAGAUUAGAGGUGUUGGGAAUGUUAGAUGAGAUUUGUUUUAAAUGAAAAGAAGAGUUUUAGCAAUGAAAUGGACUCAAAAAAUUAGUUACUACUA